GGGGGCGACAGGUUUCGACGGCGUGUUGGAGGGUCUGGAGGAGCAGGUCGAGUUAUGUCCGUAAUUCUCGUUAAACAUUCGGGCAAGACGAUAAACGUCGACAAUAAUUACGCUUUAGCGGCUUAAGCCCGCUACGUCGAGGGACGUGACUCGUCUACUGGUCCGCCUGAGGCGUCACUUUAGGUAGAUGCUCUGUUCGAUGUAGGGCUUUGCUCGGAUAGAAAAGACAAGAAGCCUUGGGACGAGGAGGGUUGUUUCCUGCCUGCCCUCGAACGACAACUAAAAGGAAACUAAGCCUGUAGAGCCGCCACGGCUGGCCCACGUCGGACGGGAGUUCGAUUCUCCCCGCCUCCACCA
rnacentral:tmRNA from 1 species